UUGGGUUGGCAGACAACUCAUUUUUUGCCUCACAGGCACUGACAGUGGCACCCAGGCACAAAGCAGGCAAAGAGCCAGAGCCCUGUGUAACACACCAUGGAAAGCUGCUCUCCCUAAGUGGUGCUGCCUUCCUGUUACUCACCAGAGGUGUGAAGGUGAAGCAGGCCUUGGUGUGCUUGACUGCAUAGAAAGGUUUUCAAGGAUUAUCAAUGUCAGCCACACCAGGGGAUGAAGACAGGAAUUUUUGUUUGCAUUUGACACUAAUAAAAGUAAAGAUGGAUUCUUAA